rnacentral:rRNA from 1 species
GAAAACGUGGUGGCAGUGGGCGGGAGAGUAGGUGGGGGGCAAGCGUGGUCCGGUUGUAUGGGGGGUAAAGCGGGCGCAGGCGGUGCCUGAAGUCGGAUGUGAAAGCCCACGGCUCAACCGUGGAAGGGCAUUGGAAACGGGGGAACUUGAGUGCAGAAGAGGAGAGUGGAAUUCCAUGUGUAGCGGUGAAAUGCGUAGAUAUAUGGAGGAACACCAGUGGCGAAGGCGACUCUCUGGUCUGUAACUGACGCUGAGGCUCGAAAGCGUGGGGAGCAAACAGGAUUAGAUACCCCAGUAGUC